ensembl:lncRNA
AAUAAGUGAUCUUUAGUCUUUAGUGAAAUCAAAGGUCUUUUUUUUUUUUUUUAAGCAAGGUUGGAUAGAUAAACUUCAGAAAAUGAUGCUAUUUAGGAGAAUUAAAGGCAAGUUCAGCCAGAACAUCUAGUGAAAAGAAGAGAUGCCAGAAAUAUUCCAGAAGGAAUGAUUUUCCUAGUCAAAUUCACCUUGAUACUCUCUGUAUUCCUAAAGUUUGCCAUUAGCCUUCUUGAUGUCUUUAUCAUAACAUCUUUCCAUAAAUCAUGGUUUCCUGCUAAGGAUCCAUUUGGAGGCAAGGAGAAAAAAAGGGCUGAAUUUAGAAUUCAAGAACCUAAAUUUAAAUCCUGACGUUCCCACUUAUUACUUGUGGGACUUGGGACAAAUCACUUGCCCUGUGUUUUGCCUUAGGUUUCCCCCAACUAUAAGUGGAAGGAGCUGAAUUAGAUGACCUCUAAGGGUCCCUUUAACUUCAAAUCUAUGAUCCAUGAACAUUCCUGUGCGCCAUUCACAGGAGUCAUAUUUUCCUAUGAACUCCAUAUAAUAGGGUACCUAGUAUAAAUGGAUUUGCUUAUCACUAAGUAGGAAAAGGAAGGCUUCUAGGAUGAGGUGUGUCUCCAACAUAUCCUUACUCAAGUUUAUGUUCCUCAUCUUUUGAACCUUUGAAGAAUUAUGGAUAGGAGGAUUAGAAUCUUUUUUCAUUCUUUGUAACUUGUAUCCCCAGUACCAAGCAUAUAGUAAUCAGUACUUGCUAACUGAUAGAAAACUACAGGAUUUGCUUGUUACAAUAGCCAAAGCCCAGAUCAUCUGUCUCUAAAAUAAGUCUUCACCAGUGGGCUCAGGAGAUAGUAGCCAUUCCAGAGCUUCUGGAGAAUGAUGCAAGGAACUACUCUUUUUGGAAGUGAUAAUUCAAGGGAAAAAAUAUCCAAGGAGUGUGGAGGAGAAUACUCUUAUCUAAAACAAGUUAUAUGUGGUAAGGAGGCCAUCAGGAUGAGUCUGAAUCCCAUGACAUUCAUGGGUAUCACCUUUGAAAGAUCAUGGAGAACAGUGCCACAGGCCUAGGAAUAGGCAAAAGAAAAGGACAGAAACUUCAAAUAUAAAUUAGUAAACUUGACUUUGAUUCUUGGCCCCAAUGAAUAAAAGAUAAAAUAAAUAAGUCAUACAGGAAAGCAUUUUGUUAAAAAUGUUUAUUAAAAAAAUACAAUUGUUUUGCAUGUCUGGUUGCACAUAUAACUAUUAACAUAUAUGCAUGACUUUUGACUUGAAUAAAUUUGCUACAAUGCUUUUUAAAGCCAGCUUGCAUUAUACAAAGCAAAUCCCUCUGUCAGUUCUUACACAAAAUAGUUUUCUAAAGUCUAUUUUUUUUUUAAAAAAGAUACACAUUGCCAUUAUAGCAUGUGUGUAUAUAUAUGCACGCAUGCAUGUGUGCGUGCACACAACUUAAAUCAAUUUAUUUAAAAAAUCCUCUGAUUAUUCAGGGCAGCCCCUCACAAGAGUUGGAGAUGCACUGAUUAUCAAUGAUACUUUUUUCUUUUAAAAGCAGAGAGCUUUAAAGCCCUCAAAGUGCAAACACAAACUUUUCUUCAUUGAUCUUAUCCUUGUGCUUUUCUUUGCUAUGUUUAAACAUAAAAAUUCUGAAUUCUAGUUGCCCAAUGGCCCUAACCAACUUUGAAGAUCAUCCCUUUAUUAUUUCCCCACAGUGCAUCAGUGCUGCUCAGCCAGAAGAUAUGGCAGUUUCUCUCUUGUGGCAUCAUCAGUACUAAUAUUUCUUGCACUUUCCAACCCUUUUCAUGUUGUAACACACUGCAGGUCUCUCUAAUGUAAAUUGUACUGGGAUUAAUAAAGGCCAGGGAUUAACCAACAUUUCAAUAGUUAUCUACCUUUUUUUGUUUUGUUUUACUACAUAUGUACUUGUAUUAUACACCAGCAACACAAUGUUGUUUACAAUGGCAGUAGAUACUAAAUAUUAGGUACAAUUUCAAUAAAAUGAAUAAGGAAAAAAAUUACAAAGAAGCAACUGUUCCCAGUUAAGUGGAUUUAAGUAUAAAGAAAGCACUUUGACAAUUUUUCAUUACCACGUAUCCCAAACUAAGAACUAUUUCUAAAAUUAACUUGUCAGUGUUUACAGAGUAAAACUCUCACAGGUAGAUACGUUUUUGUUUUUUGUUUUUUAAAGCCACUCCAUGGACUGGGUGAGUGAAAUCCAAGAAUGCAAAACUGUUUAGUUUCAGUUAAUUUUAAGUUCUUAGUCUCAUCAAAGAUAUAAUCGCAUGUAUCACCAGCACUAAAAUAGCUCAACCAAUGUAAUUUCCAAAGAGCUAACGUUAAAAUUAUUCUCCAUGAACUACUCUGUCCCAACUGUCUCUUGUAAACAGAUACUUUUCAUAGACAGAGAAGUACACUUUAGCUGACCCAACAAAACAAGGACCAUUGAGAAUUUACUGGUUUGUUUUUCACAAAGUAAAUCUCUAGACAGCCUUAUUUUUUUUUUGAGCUUUGUGUUAAAAUAAGAGGCAAGAGAUAUAAAGCUAAAAUAUUGAAAUAAGAAAUGUUAAAACCCCAUUUUAAUGAAUAGCAUCAAUCUCAUACCAAAUUCUUAAGCCAACAGGUAUCAAAAUUAACUUAUAAGUUCAUCUGUUUAAUUUCCCCUAGUCAAAAUAAGUGAAAUUGUCCAAAGGCAGAAGGUAAAGAAUCAGUUGUAGAUUGGAUAUAGGAUUUAUACUAAUAAUAAACAAUCUUUGAAUAAUCAAGAAUUAAAGAUAUCAAUUUAUUUGCUAUCUUUUAGAAAUGCAUCUCAGAAAGAUUCACUAAUAUGUACAGCAGAGUACAUAAAAUAUGCUACUGUAUCACAAAAGCAAUGAAUGUAAUAUACAUAAGGCCAUCUGGUAACACUGCACCAAUAAACAAAAAUAUAUAUGAAAUGUUUUUAGAAGGGACACAAUUUCCCUCCACACCACAAUGAACAAUAAAGUAAUAAUGGUUACACAGAGAAGAAACUUGAAACCUGAUACAUUACAAAAUUUUGUGCAAUCCAUCAAUAGCUAAUCAUAAAAAUCAUAUUCUAUACAGCACAAUUUUAAGAGCUUGUAUAUUUAAAAACAUUCUAGCCAAAAUACAACACCUCAGAAAGCCUAAUAGAAUAAUCAAUUUUGUGAAUCCAUUUGUCCCCCUCCCAAACAGUACAAAAUUCCAGAAAAUAUAAAAUAGUAAUAAACUCCACUUCCUGAUUCUCUAGAGAAACCUUCAGCUGAAAAUUAAAAAUCAAAACAAAAAGUUAAGUGCUUCCAGUUAUGAAACAGUGCUAAUAAUGGUGCAUGACAACAAAAACAUAUUUUCAUCAGCAAGUAAAGAACAGCCUACUCCUGUAAUCCAAUCAUGUUGUUAUUAGUUUGCUAGAGUUCUGGCCCAGCUUUAGGUCACCCCCAAUUUAAAAGAUCCUAAAUCUGUCCUAACAGAACUCUCCCAGAGCUCUAUUACCUGAACGGUCAAGAUAAGGAAGAUUGGGAACAGCACUCCUCCCAAGGUAUUUUCCUACGCCAGCAUUUCUCCUUUCAUUGACAAUAUAUUGUUCAAAGGGUUAAAUCGGACAACAAAGGCCAACUCCUAGUCAUUCAAUCCAUGUUUACAUUUCUGUAUUUUAAGAAUAGUUAUUUCAGUAUAAACUCCUAUAAUUAUGCAGUAAGCAACCUGAUGAACAUAGUCAACAGAGAAGCAAAAGUAAAUGAAGACUAUCGUUUAAAAAUCCUGUUUGCCCAAUCUUAUACCAAUAUAACAGACCAGAGAAUAAGAUGAUUUUUUCAAAAUUACAUGUCAUAAUAGCACUGAGUUUUGUUUUUUUAAGUUGGCAAGCAAUAGUCUAUAUUAAGGCCUAUGACUUUGUACUUACUGAAAUUUUUUAUAAUAAGAAAUUGAAAUGUGCAAGGCAUUAAAUUUUAAAAAGUGAUAUAACUGCAAAGUACAGCAAAACUUUAGUUUUAGUAUAAAAUAUAUAGCCUAGGAACCACCCCAGUCCAAGGGAUGAAUAAUAUAUAUCCCUCUGAAAAAUAGAUUUUAUAUAUAUAUAUGCGUGUGUUUAUAUACAUAUUUAGCCAAUGUCAGAAUAACUUGAAGGAAAUGUUCCAGUCUCAAUUAAAUAUUAAAAAAUAAAAUUUCAAAACUCUGACAAAACUAUCAGAUGUGUAUCACCCCUAGGAGACCAGAGUCACUAUCAUUUAACAUGUUUGAGCACUUUUCUAUGAAUAUUUUAGUUAAAAAUUUCAUUAAAAAUUUUUAACAGAAGUUUGAAUUUCCUGGUCUUUGUAGAAUGUCUAAAUUAAAAUCUAUAUUCCCUCUCUCACAAAUCACUUUCUAAAUGUUAAGUAUUAAUGUUAACACCCCAACUACAACAAUGUUCUGGCAGAUUGCUGAUCUUUUUCUUAAAAUAUUUUUUAAAAAAAGGGUGCUCUGGGAAAAAAAAAGAUAGCUCUAAGGGGAAUGUUUAUUCUAUAUCAGUAUCUCAGAUGUGCUGUUUGCAAGCCAAAACACGAAUUUCUUACUAAAAGGCCCAAUAUAUCUAAAAUCAAGUCAAAACCGUCCUUUUUCUUUGAUUACUAGCCACCCACAAGAAUUCUAGAUUUCAAGGUGCAAAAGCUUUAGUGGGGGGGUUCUGAUAACCUAAAAGGCAGAGCAGGGUACUUUUGUUUUAGGAAGUACAAGCAACAUUUGAAAAACAACCACCCACACAACCUAUUUUGGAUACAAAACCAAGCAGGCAUAUGUUUCAAGAUGCUUUUU